AUUGAACGCUGGCUGCAGGCUUAACCCAUGCACGUCGAACGAGUGGCGACCGGUUGAGUCAUGCUUGGGAAUCUGGCUUAUGGAGGGUGAUAACGACGGGACACUGUCGCUACUACCGCGUACCCUCGGAUGAGCCCCAGUGGGAUUAGGUAGUUGGUGGGUUAAUGGCCUACCAAGGCGACGAUCUCUGGCUGGUCUGAGAGGAUGACCAGCCAGACCGGGACGGAGACAAGGCCCGGAAUCUUACGGGGGGCAGGAGGGGGGAAUAUUGCGCAAUGGGGGCAACCUGACGCAGCCAUGCCGCGUGAAUGAAGAAGGCCUUCGGGUUGUAAAGUUCUUUCGGUGACGAGGCGUUAAUCACAGAAGAAGCACCGGCUAACGCCGUGCGAGCAGCCGCGGUAAUAC
rnacentral:rRNA from 1 species